rnacentral:rRNA from 1 species
UGGGGAAUUUUGGACAAUGGGCGAAAGCCUGAUCCAGCAAUGCCGCGUGUGUGAAGAAGGCCUUCGGGUUGUAAAGCACUUUUGUCCGGAAAGAAAUCCUUGGCUCUAAUACAGUCGGGGGAUGACGGUACCGGAAGAAUAAGCACCGGCUAACUACGUGCCAGCAGCCGCGGUAAUACGUAGGGUGCAAGCGUUAAUCGGAAUUACUGGGCGUAAAGCGUGCGCAGGCGGUUUGCUAAGACCGAUGUGAAAUCCCCGGGCUCAACCUGGGAACUGCAUUGGUGACUGGCAGGCUAGAGUAUGGCAGAGGGGGGUAGAAUUCCACGUGUAGCAGUGAAAUGCGUAGAGAUGUGGAGGAAUACCGAUGGCGAAGGCAGCCCCCUGGGCCAAUACUGACGCUCAUGCACGAAAGCGUGGGGAGCAAAACAGGAUUAGAUACCCUGGUAGUCCACGCCCUAAAACGAUGUCAACUAGUUGUUGGGGAUUCAUUUCCUUAGUAACGUAGCUAACGCGUGAAGUUGACCGCCUGGGGAGUACGGUCGCAAGAUUAAAACUCAAAUGAAUUGACGGGGUCAUAGCUGUUUUCU